GCGAAAGUCCUUCGGGACUGAGUAGAUCGGCGGACGGGUGAGUAAUACGUGGGUAAUCUGCCCCCGAGCUCGGGAUAACAGUGCGAAAGCGCUGCUAAUACCGGAUAAGACCACAUGACACAUGUUGUGCGGUAAAAGGUGGCUUUAUUUUCGGAUGAGGCUAUCACUUGAGGAUGAGCCCAUGGCCUAUCAGCUUGUUGGUGAGGUAAAAGCUCACCAAGGCGAUGACGGGUAGCUGGUCUAAGAGGACGACCAGCCACACUGGGACUGAGACACGGCCCAGACUCCUACGGGAGGCAGCAGUGGGGAAUAUUGGGCAAUGGGCGAAAGCCUGACCCAGCGACGCCGUGUGGGCGAUGAAGGCCUUCGGGUUGUAAAGCCCUGUGAGGUGGAAAGAAGGGUCCAGAGGUUAAUACCCUUUGGACUUUGACGGUACCACCAGAGGAAGCACCGGCUAACUCCGUGCCAGCAGCCGCGGUAAUACGGAGGGUGCAAGCGUUGUUCGGAAUUACUGGGCGUAAAGGGCGCGUAGGUGGUUGUGUAAGUCAGAUGUGAAAUCCUUAGGCUUAACCUGAGAACUGCA
rnacentral:rRNA from 1 species